rnacentral:rRNA from 1 species
AUUCCAGCUCCUAUAGCGUAUAUUAAAGUUGUUGCAGUUAAAAAGCUCGUAGUUGGAUCUCAGGGUGAGCUCAGUCGGUCGGCCUAAUUGGUCAGAACUGGCUGACUCUCCCUUGUUUCUGAAUCCCGGUCGGAGUUAAUUCUUCGUUCGUGGACUUCAGAUCGUUUACCUUGAAAAAAUUAGAGUGUUCAAAGCGGGCGUUUGCUUGAAUACAUUAGCAUGGAAUAAUGGAAUAGGACCCUGGUUCUAUUUUGUUGGUUUUGAGGACCAGAGUAAUGAUUAAUAGGGAUAGUUGGGGGCAUUCAUAUUUAAUUGUCAGAGGUGAAAUUCUUGGAUUUAUGAAAGAUGAACUUCUGCGAAAGCAUUUGCCAAGGAUGUUUUCAUUA